GAGUUUGAUCAUGGCUCAGGAUAAACGCUGGCGGCGCACAUAAGACAUGCAAGUCGAACGAACAGAAACUUAUUCUUAACGAUUAAGUGGAAGUUAGUGGCGGACUGGUGAGUAAAGUAUAAGUAACCUGCCUAUUAGAGGGGAACAACAGUUGGAAACGACUGCUAAUACCGCAUAUGCCAUAAGAAUCGCAUGGUUCAAGUGGGAAAGGAGAAAUCCGCUAAUAGAUGGACUUAUAUCUGAUUAGCUAGUUGGUGGGGUAAAGGCCUACCAAGGCGACGAUCAGUAGCCGAACUGAGAGGUUAGACGGCCACAUUGGGACUGAGAUACGGCCCAGACUCCUACGGGAGGCAGCAGUCGGGAAUAUUGCGCAAUGGAGGGAACUCUGACGCAGUGACGCCGCGUGCAGGAAGAAGGUUUUCGGAUUGUAAACUGCUUUAGACAGGGAAGAGAAAGGACAGUACCUGUAGAAUAAGCUCCGGCUAACUACGUGCCAGCAGCCGCGGUAAUACGUAGGGAGCAAGCGUUAUCCGGAUUUAUUGGGUGUAAAGGGUGCGUAGACGGGAAUAUAAGUUAGUUGUGAAAUCCCUCGGCUCAACUGAGGAACUGCAACUAAAACUGUAUUUCUUGAGUACUGGAGAGGAAAGUGGAAUUCCUAGUGUAGCGGUGAAAUGCGUAGAUAUUAGGAGGAACACCAGUGGCGAAGGCGACUUUCUGGACAGAAACUGACCCCGACGCACCAAAGUGUGCGGAGCAAACAGGAUUAGAUACCCUGGUAGUCCACACUGUAAACGAUGGAUACUAAGUGUAGGGUGUGAAGAACAGUCUGUGCCGUCGCAAACGCAGUAAGUAUCCCACCUGGGGAGUACGGCCGCAAGGUUGAAACUCAAAGGAAUUGACGGGGGCCCGCACAAGCAGUGGAGUAUGUGGUUUAAUUCGAAGCAACGCGAAGAACCUUACCAGGGCUUGACAUAUAUAGGAAUAUAUAAGAGAUUAUAUAGCUUUUCGGAGCCUAUAUACAGGUGGUGCAUGGUUGUCGUCAGCUCGUGUCGUGAGAUGUUAGGUUAAGUCCUGCAACGAGCGCAACCCCUAUUCUUAGUUGCCAGCAUGUAGAGAUGGGAACUCUAAGGAGACUGCCGGUGAUAAAUCGGAGGAAGGUGGGGACGACGUCAAAUCAUCAUGCCCUUUAUGUCCUGGGCUACACACGUACUACAAUGGCUAUAACAAAGGGAAGCGAAGCAGAGAUGUGGAGCAAAGCCCAAAAAAGUAGUCUCAGUUCGGAUUGAAGGCUGAAAUUCGCCUUUAUGAAGCCGGAAUUGCUAGUAAUGGCAGGUCAGCAUACUGCCGUGAAUACGUUCCCGGGCCUUGUACACACCGCCCGUCACACCAUGAGAGUUGGGAAUACCCGAAGCCCAUGAGCCAACUGAAAAGAGGCAGUGGUCGAAGGUAGAAUCAAUGAUUGGGGUAAAGUCGUAACAAGGUA
rnacentral:rRNA from 1 species